rnacentral:rRNA from 1 species
UACGGGAGGCAGCAGUGGGGAAUAUUGCACAAUGGGCGCAAGCCUGAUGCAGCCAUGCCGCGUGUAUGAAGAAGGCCUUCGGGUUGUAAAGUACUUUCAGUCGUGAGGAAGGUGUUAAGGUUAAUAACCUUAGCAAUUGACGUUAGCGACAGAAGAAGCACCGGCUAACUCCGUGCCAGCAGCCGCGGUAAUACGGAGGGUGCGAGCGUUAAUCGGAAUUACUGGGCGUAAAGGGCACGCAGGCGGUUAAUUAAGUUGGAUGUGAAAUCCCCGGGCUUAACCUGGGAAUGGCAUUCAAGACUGGUUAGCUAGAGUCUUGUAGAGGGGGUAGAAUUCCAUGUGUAGCAGUGAAAUGCGUAGAGAUGUGGAGGAAUACCGGUGGCGAAGGCGGCCCCUGGACAAAGACUGACGCUCAUGUGCGAAAGCGUGGGGAGCAAACAGGAUUAGAUACC